UCUGCUGAUCCAAAUUAUCACCCCUCAUGUUAUGGGCCUCAAAGAGCAGCUGAAAGAGUAAUUUAAGGUGCAAGUGGAUAAGUCUAGCAAAUGCAGUAAUGUGACCACAAGCAAGUUGAGGAGGUUUCUCAAGAUACACAAGUUGAUGGAGUUUUGGAAGAUCUACAAGUUGCUGGA